GGUGGGGUAGCUCAGCCGGUCAGAGCGUACGACUCAUAAUCGUAAGGUCGGGAGUUCAAGUCUCCCCCCCACUACCA
rnacentral:tRNA from 1 species